AACGCACAUUGCGCCCGCCAGUAUUCUGGCGGGCAUGCCUGUCCGAGCGUCAUUUCAACCAUCAAGCCCCGGGCUUGUGUUGGGGACCUGCGUCCGACCGCAGGCCCCGAAAACCAGUGGCGGGCUCGCUGUCCACACCGAGCGUAGUAGAACAACCUCGCUGCGGAGUGGCGCGGGCGCCCUGCCGUAAAACCCCCCCACGUACCAAGGUUGACCUCGGAUCAGGUAGGAAUACCCGCUGAACUUAA
rnacentral:misc_RNA from 1 species